rnacentral:rRNA from 1 species
ACGCAUCACAUGCCUUAUGCGACGGUAGACUUGAUCCGGAAUCUGCGAGGGCUCCAUAUAUCUGUUGAAACCUGCAAUGCACGACUGCCGCAAGGCACAUAGGAUAACCGAGGUAAUUCUUCGGCUAAUACAUUUAAGUGGGCGUUCUCGGGCGGGGCGAAAGCUUUGCUUAGGGGCGCCGGGCCUCCGGCAUAUACCAACGGCCCCUCGUGGGCCUGCGAGAAAGCGCGGUGGGACCCUUACAUCGGUGGUAAGCCAGGUCGUAGCAAUUAUGGUCUUCAGACCUAUCAACUAGAAUGCGGGGGCACGUCCCCCCUUGGUUUCAACGGGUACAGAGGAUUAGGGUUCGGUCCUGGAGAGGUAGCCUAAGAGAUCGCUACCACUUCUAAGGAAGGCAGCAGGCGCGCAACGUUCCCUAUGGGGAAACCCUGAGGACGUGACGGGACAUAGCAAUAUUGGGCCCUAUAAAGGCUCGAUAAUUGAAAUGGGGGAGUUUUAAACCACCCACCGAGUAACAAUUGGAGGACAAGUCGAUCACAAAGUCGUUACGCAUCACAUGCCUUAUGCGACGGUAGACUUGAUCCGGAAUCUGCGAGGGCUCCAUAUAUCUGUUGAAACCUGCAAUGCACGACUGCCGCAAGGCACAUAGGAUAACCGAGGUAAUUCUUCGGCUAAUACAUUUAAGUGGGCGUUCUCGGGCGGGGCGAAAGCUUUGCUUAGGGGCGCCGGGCCUCCGGCAUAUACCAACGGCCCCUCGUGGGCCUGCGAGAAAGC